rnacentral:rRNA from 1 species
CCCUUAGAUGUUCUGGGCUGCACGCGCGCUACACUGUCGGAUUCAGCGAGUCAUAUCCUUAACCGAAAGGUUUGGGUAAUCUUUUGAAAGUCCGACGUGAUGGGGAUUGAUCAUUGCAAUUAUUGAUCAUGAACGAGGAAUUCCUAGUAAGCGCGAGUCAUCAGCUCGCGUUGAUUGCGUCCCUGCCCUUUGUACACACCGCCCGUCGCUACUACCGAUUGAAUGGUUUAGUGAGAUCUUCGGAUUGGCGCCUACGCGGCUUCUCUGAGGCCACGCUGGAUGCCGAAAAGUUGCUCAAACUGUAUCAUUUAGAGGAAGUAAAAGUCGUAACA